rnacentral:rRNA from 1 species
UACGUAGGGUGCGAGCGUUGUCCGGAAUCACUGGGCGUAAAGGGCGCGUAGGCGGCCUGAUAAGUAGGGGGUGAAAUCCUGCGGCUUAACCGCAGGGCUGCCUUCUAAACUGUCGGGCUGGAGUCCGGAAGAGGCGAGUGGAAUUCCUGGUGUAGCGGUGAAAUGCGCAGAUAUCAGGAGGAACACCGAUGGCGAAGGCAGGUCUCUGGGCAUUAACUGACGCUGAGGAGCGAAAGCAUGGGGGAGCGAACAGG